CCUUGGGGGAACCUCAGCUCCGACACCCGCCUCUGCUUGGAGGCCUGCGGGGGUCACUGGGCUCGCCAAGAGAAAGGGAAAGGGUGGGGGAAGAGGCAACCAUUUUACUUUAAAUUAAAAUGACACAAAAAUACUUUUUUCAACUCCGAUCUUUUUGAGACAUCCCCAGAAAGCGUUGCCAGCUGUGAUUGCACCUAAUGUGAGAGCAUGAACUAAUUUCGGAGGUGAGAGCUGAAUCAGGAGACUGCAUGCAGGAUAGCGGCCGUCCAGUGUCGCUAGCAGCAGUAGCGGCGGAGGGUCCCUGGAGAGGCACUCGUGUAGAACCAACGAUACACUCUACAGUCCGUCGUUGCACAGAUAUUUCCUGAGUGCCGGCUCUGUCCGUGAAAGCCAGUUUUCAUGACGCUCACAAGCCUGGCCGAGAUGACCUGGAGGGAAGUGGUCACCAGCUCCAUUCCUCUUCUCUUCAUGGAUAAACUCCAGUGUGAAAUGAGGCCCUGACAGCCGGAUCCGUAUGACAGAAUGGUCCAGAACAGGACAGCCAAUCUGUAAUGAGGGAGGAAGAUUCUAGUAGCAGCUGACUGGCUUCUAGCAUCCAGCACGCUGUGAAUUCUGGUCUCUAAGCAUGAGUGGGCCUCAGCAAAUGCUCCUAGCCACUUCAUCCGCUCUCUUCACAGAUCUAUCAGAUGAGUGUUUUACUGUUAUUCCCAUACCAACGUAGCAGAACCAGCCACCGUACCCACCAUUGUGUCAGAGAAAACACCUGCUUCCUAUAAGGUUCUCUAGCUAAAGGGGAAAACGAGUUGGUUCCCAUGGUCUCUUACUGCAAGCCAGCUCAUCCUUUGGCAUCCUGAGACCAAGAUUGCACAUUUAGCCAGGUGGAUCUCUUAAAAGCAUCUCUUUUACUAUAUUCUCCAUUUCAGACUUAUCCCUAUCUUCUUUCCUGUUUUGCUUUAUCACCUUUGUGAUGCUUUAAUGCUCAGCACACCAGCUGAAGCUCUGUGAAAUCUGUAUCACAGUAUAUUAGCAUUCCAAAAUACAUGCAAUCCCUGAGUAGACAAUAAAUUUGAUUUUGCACAAGUGGCAUCCUUUAUACUUUGCUCAUAAGGCAAUCUCUCAAGUGUAUCUUUUUUUUGAAACACAACACAAAUAGUCUGGUAAAGUAAAAAUGGGUUGCAUGAUGGGUUUUGUGCUCAGCAAAAAGGACUUGGACAAAGCAGAGAUGCUGAUGUUCUUAUUUACAAAGGUUGCCGUCUGGGAAAUUAGUGUCUGCUGCUGCUCUGUAAUUAGGAAAAUUUAGGACCCCUAGCGCUCCAACGUCUUGCAUUAAAGGUUGUAUGUCAUUGGUGUUUUCAUGAGAAUUUGCUGGAUUUCUGUCAUUAAUAACAGGCAUAAACUCAGCAAGCAGUAGAAUAUGCAUUACAUUUAAUCAAUUUGCUAUUUGUAUUCAUUAUGUAUGUCCUCCAUUUUGAGUCAUGAAAAAUUGAAACGCUGUUGCAAAUAGAAAGAGCAUCAUGGAUUACAAAUGAUGUAACGAGCAUAAGCGCUAUUAAUUGGUCAAUUGUGCUUGUCAGUACAUUUAAAGUGAUUAAGGCAGAAAGAUUAGAAGGGACAUGAAUGUGCCUGGGAAGUAGAAGCCCGGGAACACUGGGGUGCUCCCAAGUGCCUUGUGCCUACAUAAAUGCAGUGAAGUCCAAUGGCAUUGAUUCCAGCAAAUUCAUUCAACAAGU